AGCAGAGUAAAUAUUAUGCGUAAAGUGUUAGAGAAUGGGAGGUUGUCUCUAAACGAAAAGCUUAAAUACUUGUUAUAUAAGAUUUAAAGCUUACGAUAUAAUAUUGCUUCCGCUGUU
rnacentral:ncRNA from 22 species